rnacentral:rRNA from 1 species
UACAGAGGGUGCAAGCGUUUAUCGGAAUCACUGGGCGUAAAGCGUGCGUAGGUGGUCAUGCAAGUCGGGUGUGAAAUCCCCGGGCUUAACCUGGGAACUGCAUUCGAUACUACAUGGCUAGAGUAUGGUAGAGGGAAGUGGAAUUUCCGGUGUAGCGGUGAAAUGCGUAGAUAUCGGAAGGAACACCAAUGGCGAAGGCAGCUUCCUGGACCAAUACUGACACUGAGGCACGAAAGCGUGGGUAGCAAACAGG